rnacentral:rRNA from 1 species
CCUACGGGUGGCUGCAGUGGGGCAUAUUGGGCAAUGGGCGCAAGCCUGACCCAGCAACGCCGCGUGAAGGAAGCAGGCGUUCGGGGUGUAAACUUCUUUUGUCAGGGAAGAGUAGAAGACGGUACCUGACGAAUAAGCCACGGCUAACUACGUGCCCGCAGCCGCGGUAAUACGUAGGUGGCAAGCGUUGUCCGGAUUUACUGGGUGUAAAGGGCGUGUAGCCGGGUUGACAAGUCAGAUGUGAAAUCCUGGGGCUUAACCGCAGAACUGCAUUUGAAACUGUUGAUCUUGAGUACUGGAGAGGCAGAUGGAAUUCCUAGUGUAGCGGUGAAAUGCGUAGAUAUUAGGAGGAACACCAGUGGCGAAGGCGGUCUGCUGGACAGCAACUGACGGUGAGGCGCGAAAGCGUGGGGAGCAAACAGGAUUAGAUACCCUAGUAGUC